UACAGAGGGUGCAAACGUUGCUCGGGAUGACUGGGCGUAAAGCGCGUGUAGGCGGUCCGCUAAGUCGACUGUGAAAGCCCGUGGCUCAACCGCGGAAGUGCGGUCGAAACUGGCAGACUAGAGGCCCGGAGAGGGUGGCGGAAUUCCCAGUGUAGAGGUGAAAUUCGUAGAUAUUGGGAGGAACACCGGUGGCGAAGGCGGCCACCUGGACGGGUUCUGACGCUGAGACGCGAAAGCGUGGGGAGCAAACAGG
rnacentral:rRNA from 1 species